GCCGGAGUGGCGGAAUUAGGCAGACGCAACAGACUUAAAAUCUGUCGGGAGUAUUCCCGUACCGGUUCAAGUCCGGUCUUCGGCACCA
rnacentral:tRNA from 1 species